CCCUCCCAACGUGGCCGUCUCUUCCCUUGACACCACAACAAACCACCACGCCUUCUCUCUCCUGCUCUUUGCGGCAACUUAUAUUACCAUCGGCGCCGCCCCCGCCGGCCACUGUACUCCGUCGAGACGACAGACUCUCGUUGUCUCCAUUGUCAAGUCAUUCCGCUGCGCCAACUCCGUGCACCCAUAACACGUCAUGCCUUUUAUUUGCUCGAUUAUCGAGUGCGCGGGGAUGCGAGAUCUCUUUACAGGUUCAACUGUUUAAGAAUUUCGGAGAUCUCUUUACAGGUUCAACUGUUUAAGAAUUUCGGAGAUCUCUAUCGCCUUGUGG